UACGUAGGGGGCAAGCGUUGUCCGGAAUCAUUGGGCGUAAAGAGCGUGUAGGCGGCUCGAUAAGUCUGCUGUGAAAGUCCAGGGCUCAACCCUGGAAGGCCGGUGGAAACUGUCGGGCUAGAGUUCGGAAGAGGCGAGUGGAAUUCCCGGUGUAGCGGUGAAAUGCGCAGAUAUCGGGAGGAACACCAAUGGCGAAGGCAGCUCGCUGGGACGUUACUGACGCUGAGACGCGAAAGCGUGGGGAGCAACAGGG
rnacentral:rRNA from 1 species